GAGCGGAUGACGGGAGCUUGCUCCUUGAUUCAGCGGCGGACGGGUGAGUAAUGCCUAGGAAUCUGCCUGGUAGUGGGGGACAACGUUUCGAAAGGAACGCUAAUACCGCAUACGUCCUACGGGAGAAAGCAGGGGACCUUCGGGCCUUGCGCUAUCAGAUGAGCCUAGGUCGGAUUAGCUAGUUGGUGGGGUAAUGGCUCACCAAGGCGACGAUCCGUAACUGGUCUGAGAGGAUGAUCAGUCACACUGGAACUGAGACACGGUCCAGACUCCUACGGGAGGCAGCAGUGGGGAAUAUUGGACAAUGGGCGAAAGCCUGAUCCAGCCAUGCCGCGUGUGUGAAGAAGGUCUUCGGAUUGUAAAGCACUUUAAGUUGGGAGGAAGGGCAGUAAGCUAAUACCUUGCUGUUUUGACGUUACCGACAGAAUAAGCACCGGCUAACUCUGUGCCAGCAGCCGCGGUAAUACAGAGGGUGCAAGCGUUAAUCGGAAUUACUGGGCGUAAAGCGCGCGUAGGUGGUUCGUUAAGUUGGAUGUGAAAGCCCCGGGCUCAACCUGGGAACUGCAUCCUAAACUGGCGAGCUAGAGUACGGUAGAGGGUGGUGGAAUUUCCUGUGUAGCGGUGAAAUGCGUAUAUAUAGGAAGGAACACCAGUGGCGAAGGCGACCACCUGGACUGAUACUGACACUGAGGUGCGAAAGCGUGGGGAGCAAACAGGAU
rnacentral:rRNA from 1 species